UGGGGUAGAAGGUGUAGGACUACAAAUUGGGUGGACUACAAAUCCUAGGAGUCAAGAGAGUAUAAAAGGAAGUCAAACUUGGUGGCUUCCUCUUUGUGUACCAUGUGCUAAGAAAAGCUGUUUGGUGUUUUUCAAGGCUGUGUUAUAGCAGAUGAAAAGACCAAUUGAUUAAUGAACAGUAUAGCAGCCUAGAACUGAAUUGUAAAGGCAGCUUGUCACUAUAUUGUCUGACAUUCCCUGAGGUCGCCUAAAAGUCCCUGAGGUCACUGCCCGAACAGCAGCUUAAAGAGGGUGAAGCCAGUUUAGGCUUGUGGUGUCUCCUGGAUGUUGAACCGGAAAGGAGGAGAUCCCAGUUCCAUCCUUCCUCAUCUACCACCUUUCAACAACCGACACAGAUCCACCAUUGGACAUGAUACAAAGGUCGUACCUUGGUUGGUUUGGUUUGAUGUGUCUAAAGGUCCAUCUUCACAAAUGCAUGCCUGCUUACUGAGAUGUUAUUCUACUCACUGCUGGAGCAAUUUGCAGGAAGAGAUCAUGAGUUACCCAGCACAGUCUGGUCUGUCACUUAUUAGAAAUGAGUCAGAGUUAGAAUGAAGGUUUUAGCUAUAUAAAGUAUACCUUUUGAUAAGUACUUUCUUUGCCACCCUACAGUGAUCUCUGCGAGGUGGUGAGCAUGGUAGGAGAGCUGGCUUUAUUGAUUAAGAAUAAUUUACUACAUCAAAUGUCUAUAUGCCCUACUGUAUAUGAAUCUAUGUUUUUCAUUCAUAUUGAAUAUAUUUACUAUACGGACAUUCACACAUUUGGUACGUGGUUCGUUUAUGAAGUUGUGGGAGGGGUCAACCAGGGCUAACUCGUAUAAUUCACACAAUGGCCCACACUUUGGCAUGCCCAAAAAAUCCUAUGUGCCAACAUGAGCUACCCAUUGGACAAUGCUGUGUGGCCAGUCUCACAACAAUUGCAAAUCCAUCGCCUGUAGUCCAGUGUUUAUUUCCACUUCAGUGCUUUCUGUGCAGUCUUGCCCUGUAUACAGAUAACAGGAUGUUUUCUUUUCAAUAUUGGUGUUCUUUAAUUAAAUACAGUAAGGAUGAAAGUAGUGUGCCAACAACCAGAAUAAUAAAAUCAAAGGUGCUUAGGAUUUUUCCCACUAAAUUUGUGUAAUGUCGGUUUUGGGUUUUGUUUCAUGUUCUGUUUCUUUUAUUUUGUAACCUGUUUAAUAACUGUUGUAUCUUGCUUCCAUUGACCAUGUUAUCUUGCCUUGUUUGUGUCAUGUUUGAUUGGUUUUUGAUAGUCAUGUCUUCUGUUUUAGUUUUCAUUGGCUCCCUGUGUGUAUUUAACCCUGGUGUUUGUCAUGUUGUUGUCAGUUGUGCUCAUGACACUCAUCCUUUUCUGCCACUGCCCAAAUUACUUUAUGCUUUUGUUUCAUUAAAAUCUUCCACCUGGA